rnacentral:rRNA from 1 species
AGUGAACGCUGGCGGCAGGCCUAAUACAUGCAAGUCGAACGGCAGCACAGCAGAGCUUGCUCUGUGGGUGGCGAGUGGCGGACGGGUGAGGAAUACAUGGGAAUCUGCCCAGUCGUGGGGGAUAACGUAGGGAAACUUACGCUAAUACCGCAUGCGCCCUUCGGGGGAAAGCCGGGGACCGUAAGGCCUGGCGCGAUUGGAUGAGCCCAUGUCGGAUUAGCUAGUUGGCGGGUAAAGGCCCACCAAGGCGACGAUCCGUAGCUGGUCUGAGAGGAUGAUCAGCCACACUGGAACUGAGACGCGGUCCAGGCUCCUACGGGAGGCAGCAGUAGGGAAUAUUGGACAAUGGGCGCAAGCCUGAUCCAGCCAUGCCGCGUGAGUGAAGAAGGCCCUCGGGUUGUAAAGCUCUUUUGUCCGGAAAGAAAGCGCCGGGUCAAUACCCUGGUGUCCUGACGGUACCGGAAGAUAAGCACGGCUAACUUCGUGCCAGCAACCGCGGUAAUC